rnacentral:rRNA from 1 species
UGAGUAACAUGUGGGGAGGGCCCUUUGGCGUGGAAUAACACGAGGAAACUUGUGCUAAUACCGGAUAAGUCUUUACGGAGAAAGCUUUAUGCACCAUUGGAUGAGCCCGCACUUGAUUAGUUUGUUGGUGGGGUAAUGGCCUACCAAGACUGUGAUCAAUAGCUGAUUUGAGAGGAUGAUCAGCCACAUUGGGACUGAGACACGGCCCAAACUCCUACGGGAGGCAGCAGUGGGGAAUAUUGCACAAUGGGCGAAAGCCUGAUGCAGCAACGCCGCGUGCGGGAUGAAGGCCCUAGGGUUGUAAACCGCUUUCAGCAGGGAAGAAAAUGACGGUACCUGUAGAAGAAGGUGCGGCCAACUACGUGCCAGCAGCCGCGGUGACACGUAGGCACCAAGCGUUGUCCGGAUUUAUUGGGCGUAAAGAGCUCGUAGGCGGUUUGUCACGUCUGCUGUGAAAAUCCAAGGCUCAACCUUGGACUUGCAGUGGGUACGGGCAGGCUAGAGUGCGGUAGGGGAGAUGGGAAUUCCUGGUGUAGCGGUGGAAUG